UGGAUGAAUAUAUUAUAUAUAAUUAAAGAUAAAUUAGGGGGAGGGAUAGGUAAGGAAUCAAAUGAUAUGAAUGACAAUAAUACUAACGCAUGGAGGGCCAUGCUAACCGAGGAGUCAAGGACAAAGAAGUCAAGGACUAACCAAUCCGAGCUAGUAAUAGUGAUAAAGGACUUAUGUGGAACGAAGCAUCGAAGUAACAUAAGGUAUAACCAAUAGGGUCAAUAGUAGUACCGGUGAGGGAAUCUAUUGAAUGCACUAGAGUAAUGCCUUGAGGCAUGAAGAUAGCAGUUACUACUGCUAAGGCAAACUAUCCCGGUUAAGUAAGUGAGUACUGCGAAGGAAAGGUCAUUUCUUUAUAUACUUUUAUAUAUCUAUAUAUAAAUAGGAUAUAAUUGAUAGAAAUGCGUUAGUAGAGAGCAGCUAUAGUAUAGCGUACCUCUUGUAUAAUGGGUCAGUGAGUUAACUUUUAUGGCGAAGUAUAUAUACUAUAUGUAAUUAGAGAUAAAUGAUAUCUUAUAAUAUAUAUAAGAUGGUAAUUUAUUAAGUCAUAUAAGUUAGACCCGAAGGCAUAUGAUCUAGGCAUAACUAAGUUUAUAUAAUUUAUAUAUUAUUAUAUAAAUUAUAUAAGACUGAAUACGUAAACGUUGCAAUGUUUUGUAGAGAGUUGUGUCUAGUAGUGAAAGGCAAAUCUGAUAUGCUGAUAGCUGGUUAUCUGCGAAAUAUAUGUUAGUAUAGCCUUCAUAAUAACCAACUUAGGUAAAGCACUGAAGAUGCUAAUUAUAUAUCUCUCGUAGUCUAUUGGACUGCGGGGGGUAUAUAUAUAGGGGGAUUGAUUGAUCUACCCUACAUCUUUAACCUCUGAAACUAGUGUUGGUAUUUAUAUGAGGAGUCAGUCUUAUUGCGAUAAGGUAGUAGGACUAAAGGGGAAUAACCCAGACCAUUAUGUGAAGGUCCCUUAUAAUUACUGAGUGGAUCAAAUCCUAUACAUAUUUUAUAUGGUACUUUCAGUAGCCCAUCAGUCGGUGGUGUUGAUAGUACACACCCGUUAACGACCGUGUAACAACGUACUGAUUAAAGUUAACUUAUUUAGUAUAAUAUUAUAUUAAAUAAGUCUGAAGGAAUAGGAGUAGAUAUCCGGGCCUAAGUAAUGAACCGAACAAUGGAUAUUUUCCGUAGUCUAAUAGGCUGCGGGGGAUAUGGUAGCAGAUUAUACUAUGAUAAUAAUAGUAAAGAUAAUGCUGACUUGAGUAAUGAUAGAGAGGAUAAGCCUCUCCCUACAAAAUACAAGGUGUUACUGUCAACUAACGGUCUCUAACAUUAAUUCCUAAUAGAAUUAAUGGAUGAGUUAUAUUACAUGAAAUAUUAUUAACCGUACCGCAGACCGACCCAGGUGUAUAAUAUUUAUAAUAAUUAUAUAUAAAAUAUAUAAUGAAGAUAGAAAGUAGGAACGGGAUAACUGUAUUGAAUGAACUCGGCAAAUAGGGACAAGGUCCUAAGCAGCGCGACUGUUCACCACAAACACAACCUAUUGCGAGUGGGAAACCACCAGUAUAAUAGGUGAUGCCUGCCCAGUGCAAGCAGGAUAAGUCUUUAACAAGGUUAAGGGGCUUGUCAACGGCGGCCUUACCAUGAGGGUCCGAAGGUAGCGUAAUACCUAGGCACUUAAUUGGUGUCCCGCAUGAAUGAUCACACGACGCUGCAACUGUAUCCAAUGCAGACCCGAUGAACUAGUAAUAGCGGUGAAGAUACCGCUAUGCCAUAGUAGGACAAGAAGACCCUAUGCAGCUUAACUAUACCCAUUCACUGCUUAUUAUGACAAUAAUCAGGUUUUCCUUAUUUUGCUCCUUUAUAAGCUAAUAGUUAUAUCUUCAUCUUAUACUACAUUAUUCACAUCCUGCAUAGCAGGGUGUGGUUUAUAAUAUAGGAUUGGAUGGAGUAACUAUACCAUGUAUGGGGGUUAGUUCCGAUGGGGCGUCGGCAUCACACAACGCAACUGAUGCGUCUAAUUAUCUUAAUUUUAUCUUUAUCCUUAUCUCUUUAUAUAUAUCUAUUUAUAUAUUUUGAUAUAAGGUAAAUAAUAGUAUAAAAAUGUAUGGAAGUACUAGCUGGCAACUAGGGUAAUAGAAUAAUAGCUUAACCAUGCAAUGAUUACAACACUUACUAGUGGAGUAAGCACAUACGUGAAGUAUAGUGAACAGGCAGCAUCAUUUAGUGACUGAGUGUCGAUAACGGAUCACAGUUAAAAAUAUUAUUUAAAUGAUAAUAUGAACCUUCUUAAUGUUUUAUUAUAAGGAGGUAAUAACAAAAUUGAACAGGGUAAUCCCGCUAGAGAGUUGAUAUCGCCAGCGGGGUUUGCCACCUCGAUUAAUCUAUCUCCAUCAUUACGAUAGUCGAGGUUAAAUAGGGUGAAUUGCAAAGAAACCUAAAAAUAUUAUUAUUAUUAUAUAUAAAUAUAUAAAUAUAUAAUAUUCAUGGUAAUUUGCAGCGAAGUAUACUUAAAGCAAAUAAUAUUUAUUAUAUAAAUAUAAAUAUUAUAAAGGAGUAUAAACGUUCAACGACUAGUAAGUGAGUAGCUUAACAAUAAACUUACCAAGAGUGCCCUAAACAUAUUAUAUAAUAUAAUAUGUUAUGACAUAGUCUGAACAAUUUGGAAACAAAUUGAAAUAGAAUAAUAAAAUAUUUUAUGAUAACAAGAUGGUCGUCUAGGCUCAUCCUCCCGGUCGUAGCCGCUGGGAAGGGUAUGACUGUUCGUCAUGUAACGAGCCACUUGAGAUGGGUUAAAUACGACGUGAGUCAGUAUGGAUUAUAUCCUCUAUGGCCUCUACAUAUACAUUGAUACCUCGUGUACGAAAGGAUAGAGGUGUAUUACCCUAUGGUAUAUGAUCAUAUUUGUUUAUCUUAUAUGCUCUUAAGCUAAGGUAUACUUGAUUAAUACUGAAUGCAUCUAGGUAUGAAGCAGCAUGUAACAGUAGAAUGAAUCGUUAUAUACUAUAACGUAUUGACUAUCCUUUAAUAAUGGAUUAGCUCAUUUUUCUUUCGACCCCCCCCCACACAUUGUGUGGGGGGGGGCGAGACGUCAUUCAUAUCUUUAUCACAUACUUAUAUUUAUUGUAUGUGAUUUAA
rnacentral:rRNA from 1 species